rnacentral:rRNA from 1 species
GACGAACGCUGGCGGCGUGCUUAACACAUGCAAGUCGAACGGAAAGGCCCUGCUUUUGUGGGGUGCUCGAGUGGCGAACGGGUGAGUAACACGUGAGUAACCUGCCCUUGACUUUGGGAUAACUUCAGGAAACUGGGGCUAAUACCGGAUAGGAGCUCCUGCUGCAUGGUGGGGGUUGGAAAGUUUCGGCGGUUGGGGAUGGACUCGCGGCUUAUCAGCUUGUUGGUGGGGUAGUGGCUUACCAAGGCUUUGACGGGUAGCCGGCCUGAGAGGGUGACCGGCCACAUUGGGACUAGGAUACGGCCCAGACUCCUACGGGAGGCAGCAGUGGGGAAUAUUGCACAAUGGGCGGAAGCCUGAUGCAGCAACGCCGCGUGCGGGAGGACGGCCUUCGGGUUGUAAACCGCUUUCGCCUGUGACGAAGCGUGAGUGACGGUAAUGGGUAAAGAAGCACCGGCUAACUACGUG